rnacentral:rRNA from 1 species
AUUGAACGCUGGCGGCAGGCUUAACACAUGCAAGUCGAGCGGGGUGAUGGUGCUUGCACUAUCACUUAGCGGCGGACGGGUGAGUAAUGCUUAGGAAUCUGCCUAUUAGUGGGGGACAACAUCUCGAAAGGGAUGCUAAUACCGCAUACGUCCUACGGGAGAAAGCAGGGGAUCACUUGUGACCUUGCGCUAAUAGAUGAGCCUAAGUCGGAUUAGCUAGUUGGUGGGGUAAAGGCCUACCAAGGCGACGAUCUGUAGCGGGUUUGAGAGGAUGAUCCGCCACACUGGGACUGAGACACGGCCCAGAGUCCUACGGGAGGCAGCAGUGGGGAAUAUUGGACAAUGGGGGGAACCCUGAUCCAGCCAUUCCGCGUGUGUGAAGAAGGCCUUAUGGUUGUAAAGCACUUUAAGCGAGGAGGAGGCUCUUUUGGUUAAUACCCAAGAUGAGUGGACGUUACUCGCAGAAUAAGCACCGGCUAACUCUGUGCCAGCCGCCGCCGGAA